UAGGGAAUCUUCGGCAAUGGGGGCAACCCUAACCGAGCAACGCCGCGUGAGUGAAGAAGGUUUUCGGAUCGUAAAGCUCUGUUGUAAGUCAAGAACGAGUGUGAGAGUGGAAAGUUCACACUGUGACGGUAGCUUACCAGAAAGGGACGGCUAACUACGUGCCAGCAGCCGCGGUAAUACGUAGGUCCCGAGCGUUGUCCGGAUUUAUUGGGCGUAAAGCGAGCGCAGGCGGUUUGAUAAGUCUGAAGUUAAAGGCUGUGGCUCAACCAUAGUUCGCUUUGGAAACUGUCAAACUUGAGUGCAGAAGGGGAGAGUGGAAUUCCAUGUGUAGCGGUGAAAUGCGUAGAUAUAUGGAGGAACACCGGUGGCGAAAGCGGCUCUCUGGUCUGUAACUGACGCUGAGGCUCGAAAGCGUGGGGAGCGAACAGGAUUAGAUACCCUGGUAGUCCACGCCGUAACGAUGAGUGCUAGGUGUUGGAUCCUUUCCGGGAUUCAGUGCCGCAGCUAACGCAUUAAGCACUCCGCCUGGGGAGUACGACCGCAAGGUU
rnacentral:rRNA from 1 species